rnacentral:rRNA from 1 species
UACCAGCUCUCCGAGCGGUAGGGAUGUUUAUUGGGCUUAAAGCGUCCGUAGCCGGCUUAGCAAGUCUCCUGUUAAAUUCAGCGACCUAAUCGUUGAGCCGCGGGAGAUACUACUAGGCUAGGAGGCGGGAGAGGUCAACGGUACUUCCGGGGUAGGGGUGAAAUCCUAUAAUCCCGGGAGGACCACCAGUGGCGGAGGCUGUUGACUAGAACGCGCUCGACGGUGAGGGACGAAAGCUGGGGGGGCAACCGGAUUAGAUACCCGGGUAGUCCCAGCUGUAAACGAUGCGAGCUAGGUGUUGGGGUGGCUACGUGCCACUUCAGUGCCGCAGGGAAGCCAUUAAGCUCGCCGACCUGGGGAGUACGGCCGCAAGGCUGAAACUUAAGGAAUUGGCGGGGAGCACCACAAGGCGUGAAGCUUGCGGUUC